rnacentral:tRNA from 1 species
GGGCGGCUGGCCUAAUGGUAAGGCGUCUGAUUUCGGCGGAAAUAUCUCCAAACCUUCUCAGAAGAUUGCAGGUUCGAUCCCUGCGUCGCUCA